UUACGGCCACAUUACAUUGAAACACUAGUUCCCGUUCGAUCACUGAAGUUAAGCAAUAUCGAGUCUGCGCAGUACCUAGAUAGGUGACUGGGAAUAUACGUAAGCUGUAA